UACGGGAGGCAGCAGUGGGGAAUAUUGCACAAUGGGCGCAAGCCUGAUGCAGCCAUGCCGCGUGUAUGAAAAAGGCCUUCCGGGUUGUAAAGUACUUUCUAGUCAUGAGGAAGGUGUUAAGGUUAAUAACCUUAGCAAUUGACGUUAGCGACAGAAGAAGCACCGGCUAACUCCGUGCCAGCAGCCGCGGUAAUACGGAGGGUGCGAGCGUUAAUCGGAAUUACUGGGCGUAAAGGGCACGCAGGCGGUUAAUUAAGUUGGAUGUGAAAUCCCCGGGCUUAACCUGGGAAUGGCAUUCAAGACUGGUUAGCUAGAGUCUUGUAGAGGGGGUAGAAUUCCAUGUGUAGCGGUGAAAUGCGUAGAGAUGUGGAGGAAUACCGGUGGCGAAGGCGGCCCCUGGACAAAGGCUGACGCUCAUGUGCGAAAGCGUGGGGAGCAAA
rnacentral:rRNA from 1 species